rnacentral:rRNA from 1 species
CAGUCGCCGCGGUAAUACGAAGGGGGCUAGCGUUGCUCGGAAUGACUGGGCGUAAAGGGCGCGUAGGCGGCGGCCAAAGUCAGGCGUGAAAUUCCCGGGCUCAACCUGGGGGCUGCGUUUGAUACUUGGUUGCUUGAGUGGGGAAGAGGGUCGUGGAAUUCCCAGUGUAGAGGUGAAAUUCGUAGAUAUUGGGAAGAACACCGGUGGCGAAGGCGGCGACCUGGUCCUUUACUGACGCUGAGGCGCGAAAGCGUGGGGAGCAAACAGGAUUAGAUACCCGUGUAGUCCCUGUCUCUUAUAC